UCCAGACUCCUACGGGAGGCAGCAGUGGGGGAUAUUGCACAAUGGGGGGAACCCUGAUGCAGCGACGCCGCGUGGGUGAAGGAGCGUUUCGGCGCGUAAAGCCCUAUCGGCAGGGAAGAAGGAGGACGGUACCUGACUAAGAAGCCCCGGCUAACUACGUGCCAGCAGCCGCGGUAAUACGUAGGGGGCAAGCGUUAUCCGGAUUUACUGGGUGUAAAGGGGGCGCAGACGGCAGCGCAAGCCAGGAGUGAAAGCCCGGGGCCCAACCCCGGGACUGCUCUUGGAACUGCGCGGCUGGAGUGCAGGAGGGGCAGGCGGAAUUCCUGGUGUAGCGGUGAAAUGCGUAGAUAUCAGGAGGAACACCGGUGGCGAAGGCGGCCUGCUGGACUGCGACUGACGUUGAGGCCCGAAAGCGUGGGGAGCAAACAGGGUUAGAUACCCCUGUA
rnacentral:rRNA from 1 species